rnacentral:rRNA from 1 species
CUACAGGCUUAACACAUGCAAGUCGAGGGGCAGCAUGGUCUUAGCUUGCUAAGGCCGAUGGCGACCGGCGCACGGGUGAGUAACACGUAUCCAACCUGCCGUCUACUCUUGGACAGCCUUCUGAAAGGAGGAUUAAUACAAGAUGGCAUCAUGAGUCCGCAUGUUCACAUGAUUAAAGGUAUUCCGGUAGACGAUGGGGAUGCGUUCCAUUAGAUAGUAGGCGGGGUAACGGCCCACCUAGUCUUCGAUGGAUAGGGGUUCUGAGAGGAAGGUCCCCCACAUUGGAACUGAGACACGGUCCAAACUCCUACGGGAGGCAGCAGUGAGGAAUAUUGGUCAAUGGGCGAGAGCCUGAACCAGCCAAGUAGCGUGAAGGAUGACUGCCCUAUGGGUUGUAAACUUCUUUUAUAAAGGAAUAAAGUCGGGUAUGGAUACCCGUUUGCAUGUACUUUAUGAAUAAGGAUCGGCUAACUCCGUGCCAGCAGCCGCGGUAAUACGGAGGAUCCGAGCGUUAUCCGGAUUUAUUGGGUUUAAAGGGAGCGUAGAUGGAUGUUUAAGUCAGUUGUGAAAGUUUGCGGCUCAACCGUAAAAUUGCAGUUGAUACUGGAUAUCUUGAGUGCAGUUGAGGCAGGCGGAAUUCGUGGUGUAGCGGUGAAAUGCUUAGAUAUCACGAAGAACUCCGAUUGCGAAGGCAGCCUGCUAAGCUGCAACUGACAUUGAGGCUCGAAAGUGUGGGUAUCAAACAGGAUUAGAUACCCUGGUAGUCCACACGGUAAACGAUGAAUACUCGCUGUUUGCGAUAUACGGCAAGCGGCCAAGCGAAAGCGUUAAGUAUUCCACCUGGGGAGUACGCCGGCAACGGUGAAACUCAAAGGAAUUGACGGGGGCCCGCACAAGCGGAGGAACAUGUGGUUUAAUUCGAUGAUACGCGAGGAACCUUACCCGGGCUUAAAUUGCAGAUGAAUUACGGUGAAAGCCGUAAGCCGCAAGGCAUCUGUGAAGGUGCUGCAUGGUUGUCGUCAGCUCGUGCCGUGAGGUGUCGGCUUAAGUGCCAUAACGAGCGCAACCCUUGUUGUCAGUUACUAACAGGUUCCGCUGAGGACUCUGACAAGACUGCCAUCGUAAGAUGUGAGGAAGGUGGGGAUGACGUCAAAUCAGCACGGCCCUUACGUCCGGGGCUACACACGUGUUACAAUGGGGGGUACAGAGGGCCGCUACCACGCGAGUGGAUGCCAAUCCCCAAAACCUCUCUCAGUUCGGACUGGAGUCUGCAACCCGACUCCACGAAGCUGGAUUCGCUAGUAAUCGCGCAUCAGCCACGGCGCGGUGAAUACGUUCCCGGGCCUUGUACACACCGCCCGUCAAGCCAUGGGAGCCGGGGGUACCUGAAGUGCGUAACCGCGAGGAGCGCCCUAGGGUAAAACUGGUGACUGGGGCUAAGUCGU